UGGGGAAUAUUGCACAAUGGGCGCAAGCCUGAUGCAGCCAUGCCGCGUGUAUGAAGAAGGCCUUCGGGUUGUAAAGUACUUUCAGUCGGGAGGAAGGUGGUAAGGUUAAUAACCUUAUCAAUUGACGUUACCGACAGAAGAAGCACCGGCUAACUCCGUGCCAGCAGCCGCGGUAAUACGGAGGGUGCAAGCGUUAAUCGGAAUUACUGGGCGUAAAGCGCACGCAGGCGGUCUGUCAAGUCGGAUGUGAAAUCCCCGGGCUCAACCUGGGAACUGCAUUCGAAACUGGCAGGCUAGAGUCUUGUAGAGGGGGGUAGAAUUCCAGGUGUAGCGGUGAAAUGCGUAGAGAUCUGGAGGAAUACCGGUGGCGAACGCGGCCCCCUGGACAAAGACUGACGCUCAGGUGCGAAAGCGUGGGGAGCAAACAGG
rnacentral:rRNA from 1 species